CGCAAGGAUCUAGUCCAGUCACUGGAGGGUAGCACCGGCACGUGUGUUCCCGUCAGUGUUUCCUGAGAAGGAAAAAAGUAGGAAACAAAACCUCAUUCUGUCACACAGGCUGGAAUGCAAUGGCAGGAUGGUGGCUGCCUUGACCUCUGGGACUCAGGUGAUCCUCCCACCUCAGCCACUCAAGUAGCUGGGACUACAGGAGAUCUAACACAGGACAGAGGCAGAGAGAAUCCCCAAGAUGAUGGAGGAAGAUCGCAGCAUGACAGCUGUGCUCCAGGGGACAGUUGUGAGGAUCGGAGCAGCGCAAUUCAAGAGACAGGCACGUUGAAUGCUGUUACCACCAAGAUGUUGAAUGCUAUUGCAUACUCUAUUUAACAGGUGAACAGAAAGUCCAGUGAAUCUAGUCAGAUUUUGAUGUGUGAUUACUUUGCCUUUUUUUUUUUUUUUUUGAGACGGAGUCUUCCUGUCACUCAGGCUGGACUGCA
rnacentral:lncRNA from 1 species